rfam:Picea glauca, whole genome shotgun sequence.
AUUUACAUUCCUACAACUUAGCGUUAAUGCACCAGAUCCCAUUAGAACUUCACAGUUAAGUGCGCUUGGUAUAUAGUAAUACUAGGAUGGGUGACAACCCAGGAAGUCCUAGUAUUUUACAUG